AACGAACGCUGGCGGCAUGCCUAACACAUGCAAGUCGAACGAGACCUUCGGGUCUAGUGGCGCACGGGUGCGUAACGCGUGGGAACCUGCCUUUAGGUUCGGAAUAACUCAGAGAAAUUUGAGCUAAUACCGGAUAAUGUCUUCGGACCAAAGAUUUAUCGCCUUUAGAUGGGCCCGCGUAAGAUUAGCUAGUUGGUGGGUAAAGCCUACCAAGGCGACGAUCUUUAGCUGGUCUGAGAGGAUGAUCAGCCACACUGGACUGAGACACGGCCCAGACUCCUAGGGAGCAGCAGUGGGAAUAUUGGACAAUGGGACAAAGCUGACCAGCAAUUG
rnacentral:rRNA from 1 species